CGGGUCUGGCGUGUUUGCUCGUGCUGGCGCCGUCCGCUAAGGUCAUGGGCGCACUGGGCCCCGAGUGGGUUUGAGGGGGUCCCCCAAGUCUGCAGGCCCACCUGGCCCUCUUCCGCCUCGGUGUUGUUCAUGUUUUUUGCUCCGCCCUCCCCACCCCCGCCCCCUCGUUGGGUCGGAGAAGUCCGAACCUCCAGACCUCCAUCUCCCGGCAGGGCGGUGGGUGACCCGGCCAGAGGCCGUAAACGUGAGUCGACGUCAGCCUGGAGGCCUGGUGGUAAGGCGGGAGCCCUUGUCGGUCUGGGAAGCGCUGAGCAAUAAAGCAAAAGUGGUGAGUUGAUUGGAA